rnacentral:misc_RNA from 1 species
GGAAGAGCCAGGGCAAUAUCAUAAACGAUAUGGUACAGAACUUACACACAGCUUGGAACGAUCUCUUCUGGAUCAUAAAAAUCAAGACUUGCAAAAUGAACGAAGCGUCUCGUCCAAUGCCUUCCUGUCGUAAUCACCAGUGAAAACACAGUUUCCUAGAGGACCUUUCAAGAGAAUUAGCCUAAGUAGCCCGUCAGCAACCUUCUUGUCAACCGCCAUUAUCGAUUUGAACAUCUCCACCGUCAUGCUUUCGGGAGGUGCAGUAGGCAACUUUGCCUGUUUUAGAAUGGCAAGAACUCUGCUUACAAUUGUAUCAUCAAUCCAUCCA